rnacentral:rRNA from 1 species
GACGAACGCUGGCGGCGUGCUUAACACAUGCAAGUCGAGCGGAAAGGCCCUUCGGGGUACUCGAGCGGCGAACGGGUGAGUAACACGUGAGUAACCUGCCCUGGACUUUGGGAUAACCCUCGGAAACGGGGGCUAAUACCGAAUACGACACUCUACCGCAUGGUGUGGGCGUGGAAAGUUUUUCGGUCUGGGAUGGACUCGCGGCCUAUCAGCUUGUUGGUGGGGUAAUGGCCUACCAAGGCGACGACGGGUAGCCGGCCUGAGAGGGCGACCGGCCACCCUGGGGCUGAGGCACGGCCCAGACUCCUACGGGAGGCAGCAGUGGGGAAUAUUGCACAAUGGGCGGAAGCCUGAUGCAGCGACGCCGCGGGAGGGAUGACGGCCUUCGGGUUGUAAACCUCUUUCAGCAGGGACGAAGCGCAAGUGACGGUACCUGCAGAAGAAGCGCCGGCCAACUACGUGCCAGCAGCCGCCGUAA